UACGUAGGGGGCAAGCGUUGUCCGGAAUCAUUGGGCGUAAAGCGCGCGUAGGCGGCCCGGUAAGUCCGUUGUGAAAGUCAAAGCUCAACCUUUGAACGCCGAUGGAUACUGCCGGGCUAGAGUCCGGAAGAGGUGAGUGGAAUUCCCAGUGUAGCGGUGAAAUGCGUAGAUAUUGGGAGGAACACCAGUGGCGAAGGCGGCUCACUGGACUGGUACUGACGCUGAUGCGCGAAAGCGUGGGGAGCAAACAGG
rnacentral:rRNA from 1 species